UACGAAGGGGGCUGGCGUUGUCCGGAUUUACUGGGCGUAAAGAGCGCGCAGGCGGUCGUUCAAGUCGCGUGUGAAAGCCCCCGGCUCAACUGGGGAGGGUCACGCGAUACUGAUCGACUCGAAGGCAGGAGAGGGUAGUGGAAUUCCCGGUGUAGUGGUGAAAUGCGUAGAUAUCGGGAGGAACACCAGUGGCGAAGGCGACUACCUGGCCUGUUCUUGACGCUGAGGCGCGAAAGCUAGGGGAGCAAACGGG
rnacentral:rRNA from 1 species